rfam:Fusarium oxysporum f. sp. cubense race 4 unplaced genomic scaffold scaffold22, whole genome shotgun sequence.
GGCACAGUGGCCGAGUGGUUAAGGCGAUAGACUUGAACGGGCCUCCAAGAGGUUCUAGACAUCUAUUACGUUCGCGUUCGUAGGUUCAAAUCCUGCCUGUGUCG